UAAAAUUUAAUAAAACUGACAGAGUUAUUAGAAAACGUUAUUCGAAGAAUAAAAAAUUGAUUUCUAUUGAAUCUAUUCAUUUAUGAUCAUUCAAAUAGAUCAUAAAAAAAAAAAUAAUUUUAAAUACAAUGUAUCAUUAUAUAAAAAAAAUUCAUAAUUUGACGAAGAUUUCUCUGUAUUAACAAUUCGAGCAGUUUUUUGAUUAUAAACAAUUUCUUAUUACACUAUCAUUAUGUAACUUUAAAUUGGAGAACGAAAGUUGUGGGAGUGGAGAAGUGCGAUAUAGAUUAACAUUACGAGCCAGUCGAGUCCACUUUCUCGCAUUAAGGAGAACUAAGUUUACAGAUAUACACAAGGUGGCCAUUAAUUAAGUCCAAAUUUAUUUCAAAUUAAUAAUUAUAGAAAAUGCAUUUAUUAAUUCAGAAUUGGAAAGCUAAUAUAGCUAGACUAUGAAAAUUAGUAGAUCCAUACUAAUUCAAUACUUGUUACUAUUAUCUGAUUAAACUUAAGUGAUGUUCAAAAUCUUGAUGAUUUUCAAAAUACAUGUAAAAUAACCAAUUUAUUGAUGAAGAAACUAAUUUAUAAAAUCAUAUAAUAAUGGUGAUUUCUAGUUUGCUAAAUUACUAAUGGUAACAUUACCUUCACUUGAAGUCACUAAUGAAUGUUGCAAAAAAAGAAUGGCUGAAGAAACUAUUUCUUUUUUUACUUGGCCUAAAGUAAAAGUGAAAAUUGCUUACUGUUAAGCAAAAACUUCAAACGUUGAAAUUGAAAAAAAAGAUGAGGAAAAAGAUUUUUAUUUCCUCAAAGAAGUGUUGCAAAUGGAAUGUUUGCAUAAUUCUUGGCACAGAACUAAAUCAGGAAAAAUUCAUAUUAUGAAAAGAGAAAAUCCUUAUUUAGACAACUUGUAUAA